rnacentral:lncRNA from 1 species
CAUAUGGUAAAUGAACUAUAUGUUUUUUCCUUUCCCAAAAGGCAUUGGGAAUAUCUGAGCAAAUUGUUUGAACAAUAUGUUCUUGUAUUUCUUGUAUUUUCUUUUGUAUAUCUGGUUGCUGAAUUUUCUCAGCAAUCUUUUUAUAAGAUAUUUCUUUUGUAAGUGAAUUUAAAAAACUUUCUUUUCUUUUUAUUUGUUUUUGUAAAACAUCAAUCUCGUGAUAACGAGGUUGUGUAGUAAAUUGAAAUGUUAUUUCUUGUGAUUUUACAAUACUAGUAAUACCUUUCUCAUCCACAUUUUUUAUAGGGUAGAGCAUGUGUAAGAAAGGAUUUCCCAA